rnacentral:rRNA from 1 species
UACGUAGGGACCGAGCGUUGUCCGGAAUCAUUGGGCGUAAAGAGCGUGUAGGCGGCUUGUUAAGUCUUGCGUGAAAUCUCGGGGCUCAACCCCGAGCGGUCGUGAGAAACUGGCAGGCUAGAGUGCGGGAGAGGAGAGUGGAAUUCCUGGUGUAGCGGUGAAAUGCGCAGAGUAUCAGGAAGAACACCCGUGGCGAAGGCGGCUCUCUGGAACGCAACUGACGCUGAGACGCGAAAAGCGUGGGGAGCAAACAGG